GUAAAUAAUAAUUAUCACAAUCUUUUUUGAUUGUGGAAUUGGGCCUUUAUUUCAUUAAUGAUUUAUGGCCUCAAAUUUACGUUACCGCUUGUUUAAUAUGAAAUUCGACCGAAUGGAGCAAUUAAACAUUUCUCUCGUUAGGCGGAUUCUCAUCAAGCAAUUACGAUUUUUUGGCCGCUGAAGGACUUUUAACAAGUGCUUGGCCGAGAUCGUGAGUUUUUUAAC
rnacentral:misc_RNA from 1 species